rnacentral:rRNA from 1 species
AGUGAACGCUGGCGGUAGGCCUAACACAUGCAAGUCGAACGGCAGCACAGUAAGAGCUUGCUCUUACGGGUGGCGAGUGGCGGACGGGUGAGGAAUACAUCGGAAUCUACUUUUUCGUGGGGGAUAACGUAGGGAAACUUACGCUAAUACCGCAUACGACCUACGUGUGAAAGCAGGGUAUCUUCGGACCUUGCGCGAUUGAAUGAGCCGAUGUCGGAUUAGCUAGUUGGCGGGGUAAAGGCCCACCAAGGCGACUAUCCGUAGCUGGUCUGAGAGGAUGAUCAGCCACACUGGAACUGAGACACGGUCCAGACUCCUACGGGAGGCAGCAGUGGGGAAUAUUGGACAAUGGGCGCAAGCCUGAUCCAGCCAUACCGCGUGGGUGAAGAAGGCCUUCGGGUUUUAAAGCCCUUUUGUUGGGAAAGAAAAGCAGCAGGUUAAUACCCCGCUGUUCUGACGGUACCAAAAGAAUAAGCGCCGGCUAACUUCGUG